CUUUUUGCGGUCUGGGCUUGCUGUACAUAACUCGAUAGCCGGAAGCCCUUACCCCAAAAAGCA
rnacentral:ncRNA from 3 species